GACGGAGGGGGCUAGCGUUGUUCGGAAUUACUGGGCGUAAAGCGCGCGUAGGCGGCUUUGUAAGUUAGAGGUGAAAGCCCGGAGCUCAACUCCGGAAUUGCCUUUAAGACUGCAUCGCUAGAACGUCGGAGAGGUAAGUGGAAUUCCGAGUGUAGAGGUGAAAUUCGUAGAUAUUCGGAAGAACACCAGUGGCGAAGGCGACUUACUGGACGACUGUUGACGCUGAGGUGCGAAAGCGUGGGGAGCAAACAGG
rnacentral:rRNA from 1 species